GAAAUUUACGAUGAUAAUGGUAAUAAAUGAGACGUAUCCGCGAUAAUUCUACGAUAAGUACAACCAAGUCCUAUGUGAACCAUUUUCUUUAUUCCAUACCAAUAAUACAUCAUGUUAAGAACAAAACAAAGCAAUUUGCGCUACAAAUGUAAAAAGAUGCAUGACACAUUUUCACUAAUUUUUCUCUCGCGUAUGUUCAAAAAUUUUUCAUGAAGUUACACUGUUGAUUUAUUUCAAUAACUUGGUAACAUGCGAUUCUGGAAAACUCACCCAAAAAAUUCAAUUUUAACUCGUGCUAAAUGUCUUCCCUUUCCUUGUACAUAUACAUUAAAAUUAAAAUAGGGAAGCAUUAAAAUACUGAACUGACUGUUUUAAUUUAAAAAAAAAAAAAAAAAAAACUAAA